CGGUUGAUCCUGCCGGACCCCACUGCUAUCGGGAUGGGACUAAGACAUGCUAGUCGAGCGCCUCCCAAGCUAUUGUGGAGGCGCGGCACACAGCUCAGUAACACGCGGCCAAUCUGACCUUGGGACAAGGACAACUCCGGGAAACUGGAGCUAAUCCUUGAUAGGUGAGAAUUCCUGGAAUGGAUUCUCACCCAAAAAACGCCUAGACCAUGCUUCUAGGCGUUGCCCAAGGAAGAGGCCGCGGCCGAUCAGGUUGUUGGUGAGGCAACGGCUCACCAAACCUUUAACCGGUACGGGCCGUGAGAGCGGGAGCCCGGAGAUGGGCACUGAGACAAGGGCCCAGGCCCUACGGGGCGCAGCAGUCGCGAAAACUCCGCAAUACACGAAAGUGUGACGGGGCCAUCCCGAGUGCCAUCCGCUGAGGAUGGCUUUUCCCUAGUGUACAAAACUAGAGGAAUAAGGAGAGGGCAAGCCUGGUGUCAGCCGCCGCGGUAAUACCAGCUCUCCGAGUGGUGGGGACGCUUAUUGGGCCUAAAGCAUUCGUAGCCGGCCCUGCAAGUCCCCCGUUAAAUCCAACGACCUAAUCGUUGGGCUGCGGGGGAUACUGCCCGGCUAGGGGGCGGGAAAAGCCGACGGUACUCUUGGGGUAGGGGUGAAAUCCUAUAAUCCCAGGAGGACCACCAGUGGCAAGGCUGUCGGCUGGCACGCGCCCGACGGUGAGGGAUGAAAGCUGGGGGAGCGAACCGGAUUAGUAACCCGGAUGGUCCCAGCUGGAAACGAUGCAGGCUAGGUGUUGGAGCGGCUACGUGCCGCUCCAGUGCCGCAGUGAAGACUUUAAGCCUGCCGCCUGGGGAGUACGGCCGCAAGGCUGAAACUCAAAGGGAUUGGCGGGGGAGCAC
rnacentral:rRNA from 1 species